rnacentral:tRNA from 1 species
GGCGGAUGUAGCCAAGUGGAUUAAGGCGGUGGAUUGUGAAUCCACCAUGCGCGGGUUCAAUUCCCGUCGUUCGCC